UCCCUGCAUUCCUAAGCCCACAGGACAACCUCCCUAGCCCUAAAGGUCCAGUCGCCAUUGAGGAACCAACUUUAAACUUUAGUCCACAGUUUCACGGACUUACCCAGAAGCCUGCAGUUUCCCAUCUCCAAGGUGGAGAGCGAGUGGGGAGGAGGGAGAGGAGGGCAAAUGGAAAGCCCUACUCUCAGCUGAACCCAGGAUGAUGGAGGAAAGGCUUCUUUGGGGGACUGUCCCACCAGAUCUGGAGGCCUUGCUCCGGGAGGUGUCUCGGGCCCUUCGGCCAAGACCCAGGUCGGACUGCAGCAGAGCCUUUCCUGCAUGGCCAUAGCCGUGCGAAGUUGUCAGGGGCCUUGGCAGAGCUGUCUACCUAGACAGCUGUUGGAAGAGAGAAAUUUGAAAGAUUUUAAAUCGGAUGGUCACAAAGCUGGUCGGGGAAUUUUUUUUUUUUUUUGAAUAGACUUCAUGUUUUAGAGCUUUUAUUUUGAAAGGAAGGAGCCUAAUGGGAUGCGAUGUUAGGUUUUAGAUUUUCCACAGGUCCUAAAGAACCAGCACCAAUUUUGGAAAUAAUGUGUCGAAAUGACAUAAAGUGGGCUUCAGUAACUAUUCCAAAUAAGUUAUAGACACACAUAAACAGGGCCUAUAAUUUUAGAAUUAUUUAUAAAGUAUAGCUAUUGAUAUGAAUUAAAUGGUCAGAGAAUUCUUUCUGAGGCACUGCGAGAACAAGUGGUCGAGAAGCAAGUGAUUUUUUUAAGUGUUUUUUAAGAUAUAAAUGCACACAUAUGUCUGUGUGUAUGUAUUAGGUGAAAAAAUAUAACAUUUUGUUAAUUUAGCAAUAUUUAUCAAGCUUCUCUUCCGUGUUCGGCAAUGUUCUAGGUGCUAGGAUAUGCAAGACUGAAGAAACCCUUGCUCUUUCUUUUCUCCUUCCCUUCCUCCUUUUAUUCAACAGAAAGCAGUAUGUAUUGAAGUCUGAGUGUUGGGGAUAAAGCAAUGAAUCAAAGUUCUAAUGGAGGAGACAAACGAUAAACCAAAAAAGUCAAAUAUAAAGUGUGUGAGAUGAUUACUGUGCUAUGAAAAAAAUAAGCAGGGGAGGAAGGGGGUGCUAGGAUGGGAUGAUAAAAGGCUUCGCUGAGAGGCGACAUUUGAGCAAAGACCUGGAGGAGAAGGACUGAACUGUGUGGACACCCAGGGAAGAGGCCUUAAAAUAGUAACUAUGUUGUGUAUAUUUUGCCACACACACACACACAAAUGGUCUCAUACCUGGCCAGUCUCUAACUUGACAAGAAGCCUUGGGCUAGAGCAUAGGAAAGACCGUACUGGCCUAAAAGGAAAGGAGGGAGCUGUGUGGCAGAGGAAGCUUCUUUAUAACCAAGACUUCCAUUUGCAUUAAGCAAAAACUAAAGGUGGAGGUAUUUUCAUCCAGUUUUAGGGACGAUGACAUUUUCAGUCUGCAGGAACAAAGCAUCCCACUGAAAGUGGUUUACGCAGAGUGGUUUAUUCAGUAAUUACUAGCUGUCCUUAAAGUCUUGAUCUUUCCUGGAAUUGGCUCAUUUGUCUACACAAGAUCUCAUCAAAACCCCAAGGACUUUCUGUUGCUGCCUUUUACCAUCCUCCAAAUGUUGGCAUUGGCCCUCAAGCUUCUAUCCCCUCAAGAUCGCAAUGUGGUUGUCACAGCGCCAACCAUCACGUCACAGCUCUGAUUGUCACAUCCUCUACAACCACAUUGUGGCAGUUAGGUUUCCCUCCUGCAUUUCUGUCAUCAGAAAGAAAAAUCUAAGAAGCCCUAAUAGACUUCCUUUUGUGACUCCUUGGACAGAAGCAGUCACAUGCCCACACCUACAUGAAUCACGGGCAGAGUUGAAUGAGUCAGACAAGACUGGCUUAUACCAAUUAUGAGCCUUCUCCUGCAGAUGGACCCUGAACAUAUGAUGGCUCCAUAACUAAACAAAAGUAAGAUCAUUGACAAAAAUGAAAGCAGAAAUGGGAUACUAGGCAGAGAACCAGUGGUAUCCCCUUAAGGAGACGUUUUGUUUAAUGGAACUCAGUUGUAGAAUGUCAAUUGGACGUUAAAAUGUAAAACACAUGCAAUAUUAUAACCAAAUGAGAAGAGUGGGAACAAAAUGAGUCAUGUAUACUUUAAUUCAGCCUUGUCUUCGUGUCAUCAUUGAAACCAAGGCUAGAAAUGAUAAAAGUUUCAUGAGGAACAUUAGACAAAUGGAAGGUUGUUGGCAAUGGUGCCUUGAGAAGAUGAAGCCCUGAGCUCACCACUGUGUCCUGUUAUGUUUGGUAAAAGCUGGAAGAUAUUUAUGGAAAAGGUUUCUGUGGAAACUCUAAAAAUAUAAAUAUUAUACCAGAUGACAGUAAAAGUGCCUCCAGUCAGAUACAUUCUUUUUCUGAAACUUCUUCAGUGAAAUUCUCCUGGUUUUGUUUUGUUUCGUUUUUUUGCAUGGAUUUGUCUUCAAACAUCCUAACUUUUCUUUGUACAUUUUUAAAAUUAUUAUUUAAGUAUAGUUGAUUUACAAUGUUCCAUCAAGUUCUGUGGUCAAACAUCCUAACUUUCAAAUGACACGAAAUGUAACCUUCCAUGUCUAGGCUAUCCUACGUGGUUGUUCAUUUUAGGAAAUUGUAUUAGUUAUUUGUUGUUUUAGGAAAUUAUAUUUAUUAACAUGUUUGUUAUAGAAAAUUAUUUAUUCCUCUAAAGUUGUGACAUAAUCCCCUGCACCGUAAUCACUGAUUCACUGUUAGGAUGUCACUGACCUUAUAACUUUAUCAGUUUAGAAGUGACUUGAGGAGUUCCUGCUGUGGCUCAGCAGGUUAAGAACCCAACAAAGUGUCCAUGAGGAUGCAGGUUCCAUUCCUGGCCUCCCUCAGUGGGUUAAGAUCCAGUGUUGCCGCAAGCUGCAGUGCAGGUUGCAGAUAAUCUGUUGUUGCUAUGGCUGUGGCUGUGGCUGGCACCUGUAGCCAGCAGCUGCAGCUCCGAUUUGAUCUCUAGCCUGGAAACUUCCACAUGCUGUAGGUGCAGCCAUACAAAGAAAAAAAAAAAA
rnacentral:lncRNA from 1 species